rnacentral:rRNA from 1 species
GAUGAACGCUGGCGGCGUGCCUAAUACAUGCAAGUCGAGCGAACGGACGAGAAGCUUGCUUCUCUGAUGUUAGCGGCGGACGGGUGAGUAACACGUGGAUAACCUACCUAUAAGACUGGGAUAACUUCGGGAAACCGUAGCUAAUACCGGAUAAUAUUUUGAACCGCAUGGUUCAAAAGUGAAAGACGGUCUUGCUGUCACUUAUAGAUGGAUCCGCGCUGCAUUAGCUAGUUGGUAAGGUAACGGCUUACCAAGGCAACGAUGCAUAGCCGACCUGAGAGGGUGAUCGGCCACACUGGAACUGAGACACGGUCCAGACUCCUACGGGAGGCAGCAGUAGGGAAUCUUCCGCAAUGGGCGAAAGCCUGACGGAGCAACGCCGCGUGAGUGAUGAAGGUCUUCGGAUCGUAAAACUCUGUUAUUAGGGAAGAACAUAUGUGUAAGUAACUGUGCACAUCUUGACGGUGCCUAAUCAGAAAUCCACGGCUAACUACGUG